AUUGAACGCUGGCGGCAGGCCUAACACAUGCAAGUCGAGCGAGCGGCGGACGGGUGAGUAAUGUCUGGGAAACUGCCUGAUGGCGGGGGAUAACUACUGGAAACGGUAGCUAAUACCGAAUACCAUCCGCUGUGCCCAGAUGGGAUUAGCUAGUAGGUGGGGUAACGGCUCACCUAGGCGACGAUCCCUAGCUGGUCUGAGAUGAUGACCAGGCACACUGGAACUGCGACACGGUCCAGACUCCUCCGGGAGGCAGCAGUGGGGAAUAUUGCACAAUGGGCGCAAGCCUGAUGCAGCCAUGCCGGGUGUGUGAAGAAGGCCUUCGGGUUGUAAAGCACUUUCAGCGGGGAGGCGUUACCAACAGAAUAAGCACCGGCUAACUUCGUGCCAGCAGCCGCGGUAAUAC
rnacentral:rRNA from 1 species